AUUGAACGCUGGCGGCGUGCUUAACACAUGCAAGUCGAUCGGUAACGCGGGGGCAACCCUGGCGACGAGAGGCGGACGGGUGAGGAACGCUUGGGAAUCUGCCCUUCAGCGGGGGACAACACGGGGAAACUCGUGCUAAUACCGCAUACGCUCCACGGAGGAAAGCCGGGGACCGCAAGGCCUGGCACUGAAGGAUGAGCCCAAGUCGGAUUAGCUAGUUGGCGGGGUAACGGCCCACCAAGGCGACGAUCCGUAGCUGGUCUGAGAGGACGAUAAGCCACACUGGGACUGAGACACGGCCCAGACUCCUACGGGAGGCAGCAGUGGGGAAUAUUGGACAAUGGGCGAAAGCCUGAUCCAGCGACGCCGCGUGGGUGAAGAAGGCCUGCGGGUUGUAAAGCCCUUUCGGUAGGGACGAAAGCUCUCGGCCUAACACGUCGGGAGGUUGACUUAACCUACAAAAGAAGCACCGGCUAACUCUGUGCCAGCCGCCGCAGUAAGAC
rnacentral:rRNA from 1 species